GUAGGGGGCAAGCGUUAUCCGGAUUUACUGGGUGUAAAGGGAGCGUAGGCGGCGAUGCAAGUCAGAAGUGAAAGCCCGGGGCUCAACUCCGGGACUGCUUUUGAAACUGUGUUGCUAGAUUGCAGGAGAGGUAAGUGGAAUUCCUAGUGUAGCGGUGAAAUGCGUAGAUAUUAGGAGGAACACCAGUGGCGAAGGCGGCUUACUGGACUGUAAAUGACGCUGAGGCUCGAAAGCGUGGGGAGCAAA
rnacentral:rRNA from 1 species